UACGAAGGGUGCUAGCGUUGUUCGGAAUCACUGGGCGUAAAGCGUGCGUAGGCGGCUUUCCAAGUCAGGGGUGAAAUCCUGGGGCUUAACCCCAGAAUUGCCUUUGAAACUGGAAAGCUAGAGUAUUGGAGGGGAUAGCGGAAUUGCUAAUGUAGAGGUGAAAUUCGUAGAUAUUAGCAGGAACACCGGUGGCGAAGGCGGCUAUCUGGACAAUUACUGACGCUCUGGCACGAAAGUGUGGGGAUCAAACAGG
rnacentral:rRNA from 1 species